UACGUAGGGGGCUAGCGUUGUCCGGAAUCAUUGGGCGUAAAGCGCGUGUAGGCGGUCCGGUAAGUCCGCUGUGAAAGUCGGGGGCUCAACCCUCGAAUGCCGGUGGAUACUGUCGGGCUAGAGUGCGGAAGAGGCGAGUGGAAUUCCUGGUGUAGCGGUGAAAUGCGCAGAUAUCAGGAGGAACACCGGUGGCGAAGGCGGAUCUCUGGGCCUUACCUGACGCUCAGGCACGAAAGCUAGGGGAGCGAACAGG
rnacentral:rRNA from 1 species